rnacentral:pre_miRNA from 1 species
CUCACCUGGGGAUCUUGUUAAAAUGCUGAUUCUCAUUCAGUAGGUCUGGGGUACCUAGAUUCUGCAUUUCUAAUAAGCCCCCAGGGGCUGCUGG